rnacentral:rRNA from 1 species
CCUACGGUGUGCAGCAGUGGGGCAUAUUGCACAAUGGGCGAAAGCCUGAUGCAGCAACGCCGCGUGAGCGAUGAAGGCCUUCGGGUCGUAAAGCUCUGUCCUCAAGGAAGAUAAUGACGGUACUUGAGGAGGAAGCCCCGGCUAACUACGUGCCAGCAGCCGCGGUAAUACGUAGGGGGCUAGCGUUAACCGGAAUUACUGGGCGUAAAGGGUGAGUAGGUGGGUUCUUAAGUCAGAGGUGAAAGGCUACGGCUCAACCGUAGUAAGCCGUUGAAACUGGGGAACUGGAGUGCAGGAGAGGAGAGUGGAAUUCCUAGUGUAGCGGUGAAAGGCGUAGAGAUUAGGAGGAACACCAGUGGCGAAGGCGGCUCUCUGGACUGUAACUGACACUGAGGCACGAAAGCGUGGGGAGCAAACAGGAUUAGAUACCCUUGUAGUC